AAAACGGACCACAAAAUUUUUCUCUUCCCAUCCAACCCUGUUAGGAGACAUGUUGAAGAUUUCAUAUUCCAGAACAGGCACGUGCAGAGGGGGGGGGCGUUGGGUGCUUGAGCACCUGCCCCUUUGCCCCUUGGUGCCCAAAGUGCCCUUUUGUCAAAUAAAAAAUUCCUCUCAUUUUUUUUAUUUAUUAAAGGCCCUUUUGUGAAUGCCUGCCUAUGCCAAAUCUAAAUAUUAGUAAAAUGUAUGAUUAAUAAUUUAGCCUUAAAUAAAAUGAUCCAGAUGAUGACCUUUCACCUGACGACGACCUCAUCCGGGACUAUUCCUCACGCCGCACGGCCGCAGCACGCGCAUUUUUUAAUUACCGGAAGAUAUCUUCAACACCGCGACCGCGGCAGCUGCAAAGACCACUAUUCAGAGAUGCUUUAAAGGAGGAGAUAAUUCCAAAUGGGAAAUAUUGCAUGCCUUCCAUUGCCUGACAGUCCCAGAGAACUGGAAAACAGCUAGCAUUCCAACAGCUGCACUCCAAGCUGUGAAGAAACUGUGCCAGUUCUACAAUAUUGAAGAUGAAGACAAAUUGCAGACAGAAUUGAAGGUCUUCCAUACGUCAUACUCAUGCCCACCACCAGCCAAUGUGUCCUCUAUUCUGUCAGUGGUCAAGGAAACCAAUGCACAUCUAGUUUUCCCCAACAUGACUCUGCUGCUGAAGACAUAUGGCACACUUCCGGUGUCCACAGCAACUGUGGAACGUUCCUUCUCAAAACUGAAGCUUGUGAAAACCAAACUUCGCAGCCUUUGCAAAGAGGAGAGAUUGUCUGACCUUCUUCUGUUGGCCAUUGAGAAGGACAUUCCAAUAAAUGACAAUAAUGUCAUUAACAUUUUUAGGGACAUGGCCAACAGGAAAUUUCUGUUAUAAAAGUCUACAACAACUCAUCAACACUUAUUGCUCUUGGUGUGCAGCAGCCUCUGUGAGCAUCUCCCUCUUAUUUUCUUGGAGCAGUCAGCCUUGGCAGUCUCUCAGAUCAACUCCAGUAUUAGCAGCAGCAACAGCAAAGGCAGCAUACUCACUCAAGGAAUUUAGUAAGAUUUUACCAGAACAGGUAUCACAUUAAUGUACAAAAUCUGUUGUAUUUGCUGUAAAAUAAAAUUGCUGUAUUUUUUCUGUUUGCUUUGUUUUUGUUUUUAUUAUAUUAAUGGAACUCUUGUAUUUUUGUAAUUCAGUUUUUGCCAUCAAAAUAGCCACAAAUGCUGACAUGGCAUUAAAUAAAACUAUACUCUACUGUACGAAACAUGGGCCACGUUGAUUUUACUAUAACGGCUGUUCUUAAUUAUUCUGUAUAACAGAGAAGAAAAAGCCAUCAGGUUGGUACAACUUAAGACACUUCAGUUUCUAAUUAUUCUGGACAGAAAAUAUUUUUUUAACUUUUAAACUUAAAAUUGUCUUUUCUGUUCUGUUUCUUUUCCAAAACUGCAUCACAGCAUUUGCUGCCGUAUCAAUACAGAAUCAUCCGUAUCGAUACGCGAAUCAGCAAGGAAUGUGUCACGAUAUAUUACUGUAUUGAUAUUUUGAGCACCGCGCUAUUUAAAGCCUUGUUCCAUGUGCCCCUUUUAUACUUUGAGCACCUGCCCCUCCAAAGGUCUCUGCACG